CCUACGGGGGCAGCAGUGGGGGAUAUUGCACAAUGGGGGGAACCCUGAUGCAGCGACGCCGCGUGAGCGAAGAAGUACCUCGGUAUGUAAAGCUCUAUUAGCAGGGAAGAAAAUGACGGUACGUGACUAAGAAGCCCCGGCUAAAUACGUGACAGAAGCCGCGGUAAUACGUAUGGGGCAAGCGUUAUCCGGAUUUACUGGGUGUAAAGGGAGUGCAGGCGGCUUGCCAAGUCUGUUGUGAAAACCAGGGGCCCAACCCGGGGCUUGCAUUGGAAACUGGCGGGCUGGAGUGUCGGAGGGGCAGGCGGAAUUCGUGGUGUAGCGGUGAAAUGCGUAGAUAUUAGGAGGAACACCGAUGGCGAAGGCGGCCUGCGGGACGGUGACUGACGCUGAGGCUCGAAAGCGUGGGGAUCAAACAGGAUUAGAUACCCCUGUAGUC
rnacentral:rRNA from 1 species